rnacentral:rRNA from 1 species
GGCGUGUACUGCUUGGCUGGGCCUUACUUCUUGGUGAGCCGGCGUGCCCUUUAUUGGUGUGCGUCGGGGAACCAGGACUUUUACCUUGAGAAAAUUAGAGUGUUCAAAGCAGGCCUAUGCCUGAAUACAUUAGCAUGGAAUAAUAGAAUAGGACGUGCGGUUCUAUUUUGUUGGUUUCUAGAGUCGCCGUAAUGAUUAAUAGGGACAGUUGGGGGCAUUGGUAUUGAGUCGCUAGAGGUGAAAUUCUUGGAUUGACUCAAGACCGACUAUUGCGAAAGCAUUUGCCAAGGAUGUUUUCAUUAAUCAAGAACGAAGGUUAGGGGAUCGAAAACGAUCAGAUACCGUUGUAGUCUUAACAGUAAACUAUGCCGACUAGGGAUCGGAUGACCUCAAAAUUGAUGUGUCAUUCGGCACCUUACGAGAAAUCGAAGUCUUUGGGUUCUGGGGGGAGUAUGGUCGCAAGGCUGAAACUUAAAGGAAUUGACGGAAGGGCACCACCAGGUGUGGAGCCUGCGGCUUAAUUUGACUCAACACGGGGAAACUCACCAGGUCCAGACAUAACUAGGAUUGACAGAUUGAUAGCUCUUUCAUGAUUUUAUGGGUGGUGGUGCAUGGCCGUUCUUAGUUGGUGGAGUGAUUUGUCUGGUUAAUUCCGAUAACGAACGAGACCUUAACCUGCUAAAUAGCCAGGCCGGCUUCGGCUGGUCUCUGGCUUCUUAGAGGGACUGUCAG